rnacentral:lncRNA from 1 species
GCGGUGUCUUAUCUGCUUCCAUUGAUUUCGUGAUGCUCCUCCUUUUGCUGUGGUGUUCUCCGAGCCUUGUGCCUCCCUUCUUCCCACAACGAGGUUUGCUUGCCAGUAUCCUUUCACCAUGUCUUCAUUUCGCUGCAUUUCUGUAGGAUCCUGCUAGAUCUGGCUUAAAGGUGUGCUUGUUCCCGUGUGUAGUGGUGGAUCCUAGCUCUUUUAGGUUGUUUGUGGUGGUUCCUAGAUGUCUGAUUUUUGUUGCAGAUGGAGCAACAUAUAGUAGAUGUAGAUGCAGCAACACCUGAUUCAAUAUAGUUGUAGGGUUUGGUUCCCUUAUGCCUAUUUUUUAUUUAUGCUCCCGAAUGUUUCUGUAGUUGUUCAUGUGCCCCUAUAUGUGUACAACCCCUAGAUGUGUGGAUGUAAAUGUUGAUUUAGCUCGUAGAUGUUUCGACUGUAUGUGUGUACGAUGCCAGUUGUUUUUGUCAGUGAGUUGGGCUGUAACUUUGGGCGAAAUCGGAGUGAUUGGGACUGAAUUUUACCAGUUAAGCGUCAGUGAUUCUGGACUGUAGUUUCAAGUUUUAUCAGUCCAUCUUACUCUGUAAUUUUUGAGUGCUUUUGUGUCUGUCUUUGCAACUUCAGUGAUGUGUAAGUUUCAGUGAUCUACUCUGUAAUAUUUGAGUGCUUUUGUCUCUGGCUUUGUAACUUCAGUAAUGUGUAAGUUUGAGUGAUCUACUCUAAAUUUUCCACUUGUUUUCCAGCACCUAUUACACUCAGUAUCAGUGUAACUACAGUCUGAAUUGUAUUGUGAAUUAACUCUGGGCUGCAAGUUUGUAUGUCCCUUUUUAUCCUUUGCUAGCUUUUGUUGUACAUCCCUUCGUUGUCGUAGCUAGUGCGUUCUGCUAGCAAAUUUCAGCUCUGUUCUUUGUGUUUCUGUGAAACAGAAUGUCCUUUUCAUUUUCGGCUUUGUAAAUGUUUGAUUGCUCUAUCUGAAAUCCCUGUUUUCUUAGUGGAUUUAUAGUGUGUUUUCUGAGUGUUCUACACUGUAAUUCUUAGUGGAUUUACAGUGUAAUUUCUUAGCGGAUUUACACUGUAAUUCCUUAGCGAAUUUACACCGUAAUUUUAGGUGGAUUUUUUUACUAGAUUUACACUGUAAUUUUCAGUGAAUUUACACUGUAUUUUUAGUGGAUUUAUACUGUAAUUUGCAAUGGAUCUACACUGUAAUUCUUAGUGGAUUUACUCUGUAGUUUUCAGUU